GUGUUCUUCAUACCUUUGUGAUCGGCAGAUACGAUGACGAUCCAGAUACGUAACAGAGGCGUUGUGAUUACUGUCUUUAUUCUUAUUGUCUUUAAUCUCAUUAAAUCUUAUGCCCACUACGAUAUUUUCAGAUACUGUCGUUCAUUCAGCGAUUCCGGUAUAAAUAGGAAUCUGGUGCUGGAGACGGUGUUUGUGUAUAUGAAUAGUAAUGAGGUUGAGUGCACUGGGCUGGGGAAGGAGAUGAUGAGGAGAAAGAUUAAAGCUUGGAAGAAAAAGGAAGUGAUUUAGAAAGGUGUGUGAAAGUUUCGCAUGAGGUGAGAUUGGAGAAGUCAUUGGUGUCGUUUGAGAAACCUAAGUUUGACAGUACAUCUAAAGUAAAUGGUCAAGAGAAGAAGUUGGAACUCUGUUGAAAUCAAAGCAAUGGCUAGACGUGAACGUGAGAUAGAAGUUGGUUGAACAUGAGUUUUGUGAAGCGAUUUCUGAACAGACCAGAAGUAUCUACAUCUCGGAUAUUAUGCCUAUGGAAAUAUCAAGCUGCAAGGAAUCCAUAGAAAGAUACCGUGUUCGAAUCAGAGUGUGUAUGUAGGCUACUUUGGAGGUGGUUUCUGGCCAGAUAUAAGGAAAUUGGAUCAAGACAAAGUUAUAUAUGGAAAGAUUUCAUUGCAGAGAGUUCGUUGGAUCACCGAAUUAUGAAUAGAAGUUAUAAACAAUUAGUAUUUCACCUUCAAAGUUGGGCCACAUUCAACUGAAUCUGCAGAAAUAGAUAAAACUGUUCUGCAACAGCAUUUUUAGGAGAUUGUUUGACAAGGUAAAUAAUUGCUGAUCGUGUUGAAAUUUAGUAUACAUACUCAUUGCAUGUCAGGCUUCAUAAUCAACGGUGGGAUUGAGGAGUGAACGGUUUUUUUAUUAAUUAUUGAUGUCUUUUUGAGCCUGUUUGAUGUAAUAUAAAACAUUGUGACAUGUAUUACAAAUUAUAAUGUUUGGUUAGGCAAAAGAAUUCGGUUUGAGCUAAAAAUUGGCAAAAGUAUUGGCAACUUACGUAUAUCUGUUCAGGUAGAAGU